rnacentral:rRNA from 1 species
AGGGUUUGAUCCUGGCUCAGGACGAACGCUGGCGGCGUGCUUAACACAUGCAAGUCGAACGGGAUCCGAUGGUGCUUUGCAUUGUUGGUGAGAGUGGCGAACGGGUGAGUAACACGUGAGUAACCUGCCCCCUUCUUUUGGAUAACUGCACGAAAGUGUGGCUAAUACGAGAUAAUCUGCCUUUACCGCGUGGUUUGGGUGGGAAAUGCUUUUUUGUGGUGGGGGAUGGGCUCGCGGCCUAUCAGCUUGUUGGUGGGGUGAUGGCCUACCAAGGCGGUGACGGGUAGCCGGCUUGAGAGAGUGAACGGCCACACUGGAACUGAGACACGGUCCAGACUCCUACGGGAGGCAGCAGUGGGGAAUAUUGCACAAUGGAGGGAACUCUGAUGCAGCGACGCCGCGUGAGCGAAGAAGGUCUUCGGAUUGUAAAGCUCUGUCCUAAAGGAAGAUAAUGACAGUACUUUAGGAGGAAGCCCCGGCUAACUACGUGCCAGCAGCCGCGGUAAUUC